rnacentral:rRNA from 1 species
CCAACCAUGGUGGUAACGGGUGACGGAGGACUAGGGUUCGAUUCCGGAGAGGGAGCCUGAGAGACGGCUACCACAUCCAAGGGAGGCAGCAGGCGCGCAGAUUACCCAUUCCUGAUACAGGGAGGUAGUGACAAUAAGUAACAAUACCGGGCUUUUUCAAGUCUGGUAAUUGGAAUGAGUACAAUCUAAAUCCCUUAACGAGGAUCAAUUGGAGGGCAAGUCUGGUGCCAGCAGCCGCGGUAAUUCCAGCUCCAAUAGCGUAUAUUUAGGUUGUUGCAGUUAAAAAGCUCGUAGUUGGAUUUCGGAGAGGUACUGCCGGUCUGCCGUUCCGGUACGUACUGGCAGCGCCUUUCUU